UACGGAGGAUCCGAGCGCUAUCCGGAUUUAUUGGGUUUAAAGGGAGCGUAGGUGGAUUGUUAAGUCAGUUGUGAAAGUUUGCGGCUCAACCGUAAAAUUGCAGUUGAAACUGGCAGUCUUGAGUACAGUAGAGGUGGGCGGAAUUCGUGGUGUAGCGGUGAAAUGCUUAGAUAUCACGAAGAACUCCGAUUGCGAAGGCAGCUCACUGGACUGCAACUGACACUGAGGCUCGAAAGUGUGGGUAUCAAACAGG
rnacentral:rRNA from 1 species